rnacentral:rRNA from 1 species
GACAGAGGUGCCAAGCGUUAGGCGGAAUCACUGGGCUUAAAGCGUGUGUAGGCGGAAUGGUAAGUACCUUGUGAAAUCCCACGGCUCAACCGUGGAACUGCUUGGUAUACUGCUUUUCUUGAGCCACUUAGGGGCAAUCGGAACAAACGGUGGAGCGGUGAAAUGCGUAGAGAUCCGGAGGAACACCAGUGGCGAAGGCGACACGCUGGGCCGUACCUGACGCUAAAGCGCGACAGCAUGGGGAGCGAACGGG